UAGAGCCCCUUGGAAACUGCCGUUGUCUUUUCCUUGGAAUUCUGCCGUACGGAAUGCGCGAGGCUGGCAAAUGG
rnacentral:SRP_RNA from 1 species